UUGGUCAUCAAAUGUGCACGCGCACACACACAGACACAGGGAGAGAGGGAGGGAGUGACAGAGAGAGCUUCAACAUGCAAAAAUGGUGGUUCAAAGAGAGAAGGAUAAAUCAAGCAAAAUCUCUAUCCAAGCCACAUUUUUACCUCAAAGUGCCUUCACAAAAGUUGUUCUACUCUUCAAGGGCAACAAUCCUACAGUUUUAGAUUCUUGAGAGGAGAGAUUUGGUGCAGCCAACAACUAUGGAAGUGGGUGAAUCAAGAAAACUAUGACAUAGAAACCAAGAGAUUAUUUGAAAGAAUAACAAAUCAAUUGUGGAAGCUUUGAUUGGACCAAUCCCAAGGUUGAUGAGAAAUUAGAGCAAAAGCAAGAGUUAGAAGGUAGCAACUUAAUCUUUUCCCUUGCAUAUGGUUUUAUCCUUGAUUAUGGUAUGAUUUAUUUGAAAUAUUGCUGUCAUGUGCUAUGAGAUGCUAAAUGUUUCAUAUGAAGUUCUUCCAUGGUGCCAUGAUAUGCGUUUAUGUCAUCAAGUUCCAUGCUAGUGGUAAGUACAUUGAAUAACAUGUCAUACUUGUUAGUUAUGUUCAAUGUUUAAAUGGGUCAGGCUAUGUAGGAUGGUUAUGUUGCUACUGAGACUUUAUGUCUUACUCCCAAUUACUAACUAUGUUAGGUGGAAACAUAACAAGAACAAGAAGGAAGAAGAAUCCAAAGAAGUAAGUGGCGCUAGAUUGCCAAGUUGGUGAUUUAUGUUUUAAAUCACAUGUAAAUUUAUAUGAGUUAUGUAAAGUGAAUAAAAAACAAUACUAUGCGUUUUUUAUAUUCCUAGAGUGAUAAAGCAUGAGCUGAAGCUUUAUAAAUCUCAUGGAGCUAUGAUUGGAAUAGAUAAGUUCCAAGCUGUUCUAA